GGCAGUGUUGCAUAGUGGUUUGAGUGCUGAACUACACCUCUGGAGACCAAGGUUCAAUUCCCAGCUCAGCCA